AGCGAACGCUGGCGGCAGGCCUAACACAUGCAAGUCGAACGGACCCUUCGGGGUUAGUGGCGGACGGGUGAGUAACACGUGGGAACGUGCCCUUUGGUUCGGAACAACUCAGGGAAACUUGAGCUAAUACCGAAUGUGCCCUUCGGGGGAAAGAUUUAUCGCCAUUGGAGCGGCCCGCGUCUGAUUAGCUAGUUGGUGGGGUAAUGGCCUACCAAGGCUACGAUCAGUAGCUGGUCUGAGAGGAUGAUCAGCCACAUUGGGACUGAGACACGGCCCAAACUCCUACGGGAGGCAGCAGUGGGGAAUCUUGCGCAAUGGGCGAAAGCCUGACGCAGCCAUGCCGCGUGAAUGAUGAAGGUCUUAGGAUUGUAAAAUUCUUUCACCGGGGACGAUAAUGACGGUACCCGGAGAAGAAGCCCCGGCUAACUUCGUGCCAGCCGCCGCAGUAACAC
rnacentral:rRNA from 1 species